CAAUUAGCUUGAGGGAAACGUUCACUCUUGCUUAUGUGAAGCUUGGGUAAGGUUGUGAAUAAAUAAUUGGAGCUUGAAAUUGUGAAUAUUGGAACUUGGAGGAAGCUGAUUAGUUGAAUUUUGAAGGGGCUGCCUUGGUUUUAAAUAAUUUGCUUUGGUCGUUACGUGGAAACCGGCCAAGAUGCAGGUCGAGAGGCAUCUUGUUAGGCGUCUGGACCCUUGAAGCGG